rnacentral:rRNA from 1 species
CCUACGGGGGGCAGCAGUGAGGAAUAUUGGUCAAUGGGCGCGAGCCUGAACCAGCCAAGUCGCGUGAGGGAGUACUGCCCUAUGGGUUGUAAACCUCUUUUGUCGGGGAGCAAAAGCCGGACGUGUCCGGCUGUGAGAGUACCCGAAGAAAAAGCAUCGGCUAACUCCGUGCCAGCAGCCGCGGUAAUACGGAGGAUGCGAGCGUUAUCCGGAUUUAUUGGGUUUAAAGGGUGCGCAGGCGGAUUUUUAAGUUAGCGGUAAAAUCGUGGGGCUCAACCCCAUCCAGCCGUUGAAACUGGGGAUCUAGAGUGUGCGAGAGGUAUGCGGAAUGCGUGGUGUAGCGGUGAAAUGCAUAGAUAUCACGCAGAACCCCGAUUGCGAAGGCAGCAUACCGGUGCACAACUGACGCUCAGGCACGAAAGCGUGGGUAUCGAACAGGAUUAGAUACCCGAGUAGUC